rnacentral:rRNA from 1 species
AGAGUUUGAUCCUGGCUCAGGAUGAACGCUAGCGGCAGGCUUAACACAUGCAAGUCGAGGGGUAUAUGUCUUCGGAUAUAGAGACCGGCGCACGGGUGCGUAACGCGUAUGCAAUCUGCCUUUCACAGAGGGAUAGCCCAGAGAAAUUUGGAUUAAUACCUCAUAGUAUAGUACAACCGCAUGGUUGCACUAUUAAAGUCACAACGGUGAAAGAUGAGCAUGCGUCCCAUUAGUUAGUUGGUAAGGUAACGGCUUACCAAGACUUCGAUGGGUAGGGGUCCUGAGAGGGAGAUCCCCCACACCGGUACUGAGACACGGACCAGACUCCUACGGGAGGCAGCAGUGAGGAAUAUUGGUCAAUGGGCGCAAGCCUGAACCAGCCAUGCCGCGUGCAGGAUGACGGUCCUAUGGAUUGUAAACUGCUUUUGUACGAGAAGAAACACUCCUACGUGUAGGAGC